CCUACGGGCGACUGCAGUGGGGAAUAUUGGGCAAUGGGCGCAAGCCUGACCCAGCAACGCCGCGUGAAGGAAGAAGGUUCUCGGGUUGGAAACUCCUUUUGUCAGGGACGAAGCAAGUGACGGUACCUGACGAAUAAGCCAUGGCUAACUACGUGCCAGCAGCCGCGGUAAUACGUAGGUGGCAAGUGUUAUCCGGAUUUACUGGGUGUAAAGGGCGUGUAGGCGGGACUGGAAGUCAGAUGGGAAAACGACGGGCUCAACCUGUGGCCUGCCUUUGAAACUGUAGUUCUUGAGUACUGGAGAGGCAGGCGGAAUUCCUGGUGUAGCGGUGAAAUGCGUAGAUAUUAGGAGGAACACCGGUGGCGAAGGCGGUCUGCUGGACAGCGACUGACGCUGAGGCGCGAAAGCGUGGGGAGCGAACAGGAUUAGAUACCCUGGUAGUC
rnacentral:rRNA from 1 species